GUAGAUAUAGUUUAAACAAAACACUAGAUUGUGAUUCUAGUAAUUGAGGUUAAACCCCUCAUAUCAACC
rnacentral:tRNA from 1 species